rnacentral:rRNA from 1 species
GGAGGGGGCUAGCGUUAUUCGGAAUUAUUGGGCGUAAAGGGCGCGUAGGCGGCCCGGUAAGUCAAAGGUGAAAUCCCUCGGCUCAACUGAGGAACUGCCUUUGAAACUGUCGGGCUUGAGGCCGGGAGGGGGUAGCGGAAUUCCCAGUGUAGCGGUGAAAUGCGUAGAUAUUGGGAGGAACACCGGUGGCGAAGGCGGCUACCUGGACCGGUUCUGACGCUGAUGCGCGAAAGCGUGGGUAGCAAACAGGAUUAGAUACCCUGGUAGUCCACGCUGUAAACGAUGAGUGCUCGGUGUCGCGGGUAUCGACCCCUGCGGUGCCUUAGCUAACGCGUUAAGCACUCCGCCUGGGGAGUACGGUCGCAAGGCUG